AUGAAUAUGAAGCAAAUAUGCUUCACCCUAAGGUGGUUGUUGCCACCACCUCAUCACCACGAGGACUCAAAUCAAGGGUUUUGCCAUGAGCAUCAUGUACAUGCAGGUUUAUGUACAAAUGGAGAGUCUGUACUAUUGUCUGUUCACAUGAUGGAUAAAUUUGAAGUGCUCCAUGCUGAUCUGGUAGUUAUAACAAGACUUUGCUGUACGAUAUGA